AAACAAAGCCUGACAUGUGUGUUUCACACAUACUCUUCUAAAAAAGAGCAAACCCCAUUGAAGACGGGAUUGAGGUACAACAAGGCCAUUUCCAUCCACCUCACGGAGCCGUACGUCGACGUUACCGCUCAUACAGCUUCCAGCCAGCGAGUAGUUAGCUUUCCUCUAGAAGUCAUGGAAGUGUGGAUAAAUCGGUAGAAGGUUUUUAUUUCUUAA
rnacentral:rRNA from 1 species